rfam:Caenorhabditis brenneri strain PB2801 C_brenneri-6.0.1_Cont51.33, whole genome shotgun sequence.
ACCGGACAUCGUGGCGGGUGCCUGUGAACCAGCUUCUUGGUGGUAGAUAAGUGUGGAUGGAGUGAGAGGAGGAGUCCUGUGUAUGUUGCUGUCAACGGCGACCGAGCGUCCGUGCCAAGCGCUACGUCGCUAGGGGUCAUCUGUCGGAAGAUGGGAGGUCCCGGGCGCAUAAGGAGUGGUGUACGGUUCAGGGCCGAAAGGCAGCAGGCAAAAGCCACCGCGCGGUGCAGUGGCCGGACAGCGCUUGUGAGUUGACACGCAUACACAGCCUCUUCGAUACCUCCAGACCACUUAUCAU